UGAACUUCCUGACCAAAAGUUAUAAUCAUGCCAAGAAAAUGUUCAAUAGUUAAUUGUACCACAAA
rnacentral:lncRNA from 1 species